rnacentral:lncRNA from 13 species
UGUUGCAUACAACAUUUUGAGAUAAUAACUAGAAAGAUUAUUAAUAAUCUUUUAGAUUAAACUGUUAGAUUUCUGUUAAUUUCUUACAACUUCUAAAAUACAUAUUAAUAACAUAUCUAUACAUAUAUAAUUCAAAAAAGGUUUAGCAUUAUUUAGGGUUUUCCUAAAGAAAGGGAAGGAAUUAGUAUUGCAGGAAAUAGAGGGAAAAAAAGGAAAAAAAGAUAAGGCUUUCCUGAUAGCAAAGAACUCUUGAUCUGCAAUAUUAUGAAAGCUGUCUACAUAUAGGAUGCCAUCUGUUUCUAGGGAAAAACUUCCCUGAUCAGUUUUCUUUCUUUUUUUUUUUCUUUCCCCAGGCAGGAGUACAGUGCUGUGAUCUCAGCUCACUGCAACCAGCGCCUCCCAGGUUCAAGUAUUUCUCUGCUUCAGCCUCCUGAGUAGCUGAGACUACAGGUGUACAGUUCCAGAAGUCUACAGGAGCUCUUUUGUGGUGAGAAAUGCAGAUCCAAGAUUCAAGGCCUUGAAGUUUGUUGCAGAAAAGAACUUGAAUGCAGAGCUUUUAAUAUUGAAAGAUUUAAGACUCCAGAAGAACCAAGCAGCCAUCCAAGUUCUUCCUGCAUUCAGACUUAACACCGGAUUUACAUUCUCUUAAAUACCAACUUUGUCUCUCCAGUUCAGGUGCUUAUAGCACUGUUUAUUAAAUAUGUUUUAUCAAAUGUAAUUUGACUUGGAUCAAUAUUAUAGAGUUAAUUCAAAUUGUAAAUCUUAAUUUCAGUACUGGCUUAAUCAGCACAAAAUUCUGCCCAGGUAAUCUCCUUGUUAUUAUUUCUUGUUCUGCAUGAUAUUAGGUUAGCAAUUUUAUGAAUCGGUCAAUUUCUUCAUUAGAGUCCUGGAAA